GGGGAAUAUUGGACAAUGGGCGCAAGCCUGAUCCAGCCAUGCCGCGUGAGUGACGAAGGUCUUCGGAUUGUAAAGCUCUUUUGCCAGGGACGAUAAUGACGGUACCUGGAGAAUAAGCCCCGGCUAACUUCGUGCCAGCAGCCGCGGUAAUACGAAGGGGGCUAGCGUUGUUCGGAAUUACUGGGCGUAAAGCGCACGUAGGCGGAUUUGUUAGUCAGGGGUGAAAUCCCGGGGCUCAACCUCGGAACUGCCUUUGAUACUGCAAAUCUCGAGUCCGGAAGAGGUGAGUGGAAUUCCUAGUGUAGAGGUGAAAUUCGUAGAUAUUAGGAAGAACACCAGUGGCGAAGGCGGCUCACUGGUCCGGUACUGACGCUGAGGUGCGAAAGCGUGGGGAGCAAAC
rnacentral:rRNA from 1 species